ensembl:lncRNA
GGGGGGGGGGGGGGGGGGGGGGGGGGGGGGGGGGGGGGGGGGGGGGGGGGGGGGGGGGGGGGGGGGGGGGGGGGGGGGGGGGGGGGGGGGGGGGGGGGGGGGGGGGGGGGGGGGGGGCGGGGGCGGGGGGCGGCUAUCGGCCGGGCCCGGCCCUGCCCUGCCCGGCCCUGCCCUGCCCUGCCCUGUCCGGCUUCGGGGUGCGGGGACAGCGGCAGCUGGGGCGGGUAGGUGUCCCCGGGUUGUCCUGCCAGGUGGUGGGUGUUUCCAGCGGCAUCCACACGGCGGGACAGCUGGCGAUGUCCCACGCAGCGAUGUUCUGCAUCAGGAUGUCCUGCACAGCAGGAACCGUGUCCCACGCUGCAGGACUCCCACAGAAAAAAUAAAGGAAGCUGUACUUGCAGGUGCACAAGAAAAGCAAGGUGGAUUCCCAAGCAACUUCGUAGUAACAGGAGUUUUGAGAACAAUACUCCUGCAGGGGUCACUCACGAGGGAACACGAUGAGUACCUGGCUGUAUUUGAAGAAUCAGUGAUGUGUUUUUAAACUCUUGAUCCUGGAAGGUCAAUCUGUUUUUCAGACAACCUGUUCUGGUUCUUCAGGCCAAAUAGGACACCUGUGCUUUCAAAGGCUUUGCUGAGAUGUGAAGGCAUCUAUUCAUUAUAGGUGAGGAACACAGUCCACUUGACUCCUGUUUGUUAGCUAUCUUCCUGCAGGGUUUAGCAGGUAGUUUUACAUUUUAAAGGCACAAGAUCAGCCAGAGAAAGAGAGGGUGGCUGUUUAACACUUUCCAAAACAGAGCUGCCUCUUACAAAACAAGCAUCCCAGGAUGAUAUUCCACACACUUUCCUGUUUCCCCUGCUUUGGGGUUAUUUUCUUUAGUAUGUUCAGACCUCCUCUUUUCUGCAAUCAUGACUAAAUCAAUUAUUUUCCUUCCCGAUAUAGGAAUAGUUAUUACCAUUUUAAAGACAGGAUAAAAAGAUACUGAGAGAUUAGGGCACCUAUCCAGCAAAACACUUAAGCACUUGCAUAACCCAAGGCACAUAAUAACACCACCAUAGGACUGUUCACUUGUUCCGGGCUGUGCAGUCUUGAAGGAUUUAGUGAGCUGGGCCUCCCGGUGUGCCGGAGGCUCCAGGGCUCAGCUCCCUCACUCUGAGCUGCAUGCUGCAGCCACCAGCCUCUCCAUGCACUACCUCUGAGCAGCCACGUUGUUCUGCCACAUCUAGAGCAAACAUUAGCCCUGAUUUGUGCCAGUCAGCUCCUUUUUCAUCAGCAUAUAAAGCCAAAGAGAUGAAUAGCUCAUCCUCAAACUCACUGUUAGAAUUAAUGCAAAGAAGUAGCUGUUUAUUUCUCAUUUAAUCCAGAUCAGAUUUUCCCUGCUGUUUAAAACAAUAGUCAGAAUUAGCAUGGUCCAAAACUCAGUCAACUUCUUUCUUUCUUUCUUUCUUUCUCAGUUACCACAUCCAGUAACAAAGAUUCUGCAUCUUGGAGUUACUGGAUGAUUUUGAUGAUGGUGCAUUUUGCAGAGAAGAAUGCAGCUCCCCCUCCUGCAGCUGAUGAGCACGGUCUGCUAGCAGGAAUAAACACACAUUUCUGUCAAUGAAGAAAGCAGGAAUAACUACGCGUUUAUGAAAUUAGGGUGCUGAGCUGUUGAAAGAGUAAUUUUUUUCUCAUCAUAAUCCUACUUUUGAGAACCUCUGCCAAUCUUUCCACUGGACUGAUGAAAAGAUGGAUUCUGCUGACUUCAAUAAUUUGAAAGUAAAUGAUGAUUCUGGUAUACACUGGCUGGCAGAGGGAACUGUUUAUAUAAUUCUGGGCUUGCUAAUAACCCUCUUCAUAACUAGAAAUGGUGCCAGGAAAGCUGCUGGCUAUGUAAAAAUGCUCUCCCAUUUCCUUGCCUUUAUUGUUUUCUGUCACAGCUUGUUUUUUUUUUAAUUAGUGUGUGAGCUAUUUUUAGUGUCUGGAGACAAAAAUGUAUUGUUCAGACUAAAAUGAGGCCAGGUACCAUGAAAAUAUUUUCAGGGAAAAAUAUUUGGAGCCAGUUUAUCUUUGGCUGUGUGCAGUGAAAGUUUGCCUGCUUAGUCCAAUUAGUUACAGCCAUGUCACUUCACGUAAAUGAAUGUAGUUGUUUCAGUGCACAGGGCAGAUUUUGGCUCUCACGCUGCAGAGGAAUACCACACACAGCUAGAAUCUGUAGCCUCUAGAGCAUUCUGAAUUAUUUUUUCCAUAGAAUUCCAUGCAUAUCUUGUUGAGUGAAUUAAACUUUUCAGUCAGAUGAUGACUUAGGCAAAUGUGACUUUUGCUAAGGCACCUCUUUGUAACUCAUCUAAUGUUCUCUAAGAGUGCUGCAUUGUCCCCUGCAUUGUAGACAGACUAGCUGCACUGAAUUCUACCCAUGUGUGUACACACACCUAUGUGCACCAUGCAGGUAAAGGUGCAGUGAAAUUUUUUGACUCACUAAUUCAGCCUGGAAGAAAUAGAAAAAACUCUUCCAUAUGCAACAGUCUCAGCUGAGGAACAAAAUGUGAAGCCCAGCUGUAUCAAUUCCCCGUAGAAUUCCAAAUCAAGCUCAGUCUUGACCAUUUUCUUCAUGGCUUCCCAGAGGCCCACACUAGUCCACACUAGUCAACCAUUAAAUUCCUCUAAUGUAAUGAGGACUCCAUUACCAGGGGAGAGUUUAUCUGUGUGGAAGUGUUAUCCAUAAUGGGAAUCUGAGGAGAAAUCCACAGGAAAUUAAGAGUUCUUCCAAGGAACCAAGUGCCUCUGUACUCCAAAUACUACUUCAUUCUUUGGUUUUGCCUAAUUAAAAAGAAGCAUAUGUAUUUACCAAAAAGACCCACAAAAUCUAGCAAAAUAGGUCACUCUGAUGUACACACUUGCACUUCCAAAAAAAGACAACUAUUACUUAUGUUGUUAAACACACCUGUGAAACACUGGAGUGACCAGAAAAGCAAAACAUGUCAAAUUUGGAAUCUGUCCUGGCUGCAUAUAUGAAAAAGGUCUUGAUAGUGUUUUCAUUAAAAGAAACCAAGUAUUCCAGGAAGAGGGAAAAAAAUAUUAUCUCCAGUCAUCUGUAAUCAGUGCAAUGCAGGCUUUUAACAUUUCACCAGUUUGAUCCCUUGCAGUGGCAGAUGGCUUGCAGUUAAAGUAGCUCUACUUUACAUGUAGUGGGCAUUUUCAGCACUUUUCAGGUUGUGGGUCCCUAAAAUAUUCCAUUAGAUACACUGACCUCCGCAGGAAGAG